rnacentral:rRNA from 1 species
GACCCUACGGGAGGCAGCAGUGGGGAAUAUUGCACAAUGGGGGAAACCCUGAUGCAGCGACGCCGCGUGAGUGAAGAAGUAUUUCGGUAUGUAAAGCUCUAUCAGCAGGGAAGAAACCCACCCUUUGGGGUGGCUGACGGUACCUGACUAAGAAGCCCCGGCUAACUACGUGCCAGCAGCCGCGGUAAUACGUAGGGGGCAAGCGUUAUCCGGAUUUACUGGGUGUAAAGGGAGCGUAGACGGCGCGGCAAGUCUGAAGUGAAAGGCAGGGGCUUAACCCCUGAACUGCUUUGGAAACUGCCAUG